CCCCACCCUACCUUAUCCAUUCUUUUUUUUCGAGUUACCUUAUCCAAUCGUCCACCUUCCGCAGCGAGGCAUCGCCUCCCAGAUCUCGCUGCUUCUACACCCACACCGGCGCCGGCGCGCCGCAUCUCCCAAAUCCGUCCCUGGAUCGACCCGCCUCCUCCAGUCUUCUCUAUCCACCAUCCGAACCAAGAGCUGUUUCCAUCAUCUCCACUUCCCCAAGCUGCCCCUGUCGCUGGCGCUUCCACCGCGAUGUUCACGAUGACGGCCGGCUGAGGGAUCCGUCGGAGGCGACCUCCGCAAACCGCCUGGCGAUUUCUCCUCCGUCCAGAGCACGCAGUCGACGCUUGCGCCGGCAAGUUUGUUCACCAUGGCGACCGCGCUGGCGGGCUGCGCCUGGCCUUCGGUGCCCUCUAAGCUCUACGCGCCUUUCACCUUGCGUUGCCUAUGGUGUGCCCCUGCCAUGUCAGAAAAAACCUUGCUGGGUCAUGGUGAAUGGUGUGAAAUGGAAUAGAAAGAAAAUUCUUGUGCUUGCACAGAGUGGAAGCGAAUGUGAUCGGGGGGUCACCGUCAAGAGAGUGCUUCCUUGGCUCGUUACCAAAGGAAAAUGGUCACUAGUAUACUACUCUUGCAGUCACAAGUUCGUAGAUGUGUGUUCUGUGAGCUAAAAGGAUCUAUUUCUAGCAUCUAAAGAAGUUAUGGACAUUUUAGUAUCUAUCUGAUGAAGUAGCACUCUAGGAUGGAUCAGUUUCUUACUGAGACAUGAUGGUAUAUAUCUAGUGAUGUAAUACUGGACAUAUGAACCUACAAAUGUAUGCCUAUGUAUAUAUCUAGACACGAUGGAUUGUUGUCCUUUUGGAUGGAUUGUUGUCCUUUUGGAUGUGAUGUAGUACUGGACUUGUGAACCUACAAAGUGUAUACCAAUGUAUGUAUGCAGACAUGAUGUAUUGUUGAGAUAUAUAUUAUGUCUCAGUUGAUGUGACUUUAAUUACUC